AGUAAAUUGGUUAAGUUAGAAAGGGCGCACGGUGGAUGCCUUGGCACUAGGAGCCGAAGAAGGACGGGACUAACACCGAUAUGCUU
rnacentral:rRNA from 1 species